UGCAUUCACUACUGAAAGUCGCUCUGGAUAAGAGCGUCUGCUAAAAUGACUAAAA
rfam:Salmo salar isolate Sally breed double haploid chromosome ssa14, whole genome shotgun sequence.